GGACUCGUUGCACAGCCUGGAUAGUGCGAGCGGCUUCGAACCGCUAGGUCGAGGGAUCGAAGCCCUCCGAGCCCU
rnacentral:tRNA from 6 species